rnacentral:rRNA from 1 species
CUUGUACACCUAUAAGAGGUCCAGCCUGCCCAGUGACUCUGUUCAACGGCCGCGGUAUCCUAACCGUGCGAAGGUAGCGUAAUCACUUGUUCUUUAAAUGAGGACUAGUAUGAAUGGCACCACGAGGGUUAUACUGUCUCCUCUCUCUAAUCAGUGAAACUAAUCUCCCCGUGAAGAAGCGGGGAUAAUCUUAUAAGACGAGAAGACCCUAUGGAGCUUUAAACUAAGAAUCAACUGCCUUCACAUGCUCAAAUUCCAGAAGACUAAACUUUACCCAGGCACCCUGAUUUCUAGUUUUAGGUUGGGGUGACCACGGAGUAAAAACCAACCUCCGCAAUGAACAGGGAUCUUCCCUUAACCAAGGACCACAGCCCCAAGAAUCAAUACAUUGACAUCAAUUGACCCAUAAACCUGAUCAAUGAAC